CGCCAACCCUGGCGUCGGCCACGAUGCAGCGCACACCGCCGAUGAUGUCGACCACCGCCGUCGUCGGCAUCUACAGAGGCAUGCGUGCUCAAGACCAGCCGGACCAGGAGGAGAGGAUGCUCGGAGCUGAAGCUGUGCGCGAGCAAACUCAAGGAGGCAGCCAGUAUCCAUGAUGGGCUACGAGGCAAGCCUGGACGUGCGCGUAGGCGCAGCGUCCUGCAAUAUGUGCAAGAUACAGCCGUCACGGCCAGACCAACAGUCUGUCGGCGGCAGCGACGCUUGCUGCCAAAUGGAUGGCUCAGCAGCCGAUCAAUGUUCAUCUUGUCCUGCCAAGACAUGAAUCUACUCUCAGUUCUGCGGCAGCUUCUAAUUAUAGAUGGAUAUGAUCAAUCCUAUCGACCUGUACAUCGAUUUUCCUGGGAGAGGAUUCUGUAUGUUGCAGGACCAACCUGAAAUUUGGCCUAUUAUGCGCAUAUAAAGAAAUUGACAUACGAACCUAGGUAAGUGGAGCGGCUCCGGUGGCAACACUCGGCUAGGCAUCCCUCACAUCCAUCUACCACCGUGGUCAGAAUGCUACUAGUAGGACCUGUACUUCGAGGAGGAAGUGGGGACAUUUGUUGGUUCUGGUGUGGCGCCCUCUCUGCUUGGGUUUACCACCAACGAAUCUGUCCCUGGAUCCACGUAUGUUCCUGGAGAGGACACAGCCGUCCUGCGGCAUGGCCGUGGAUGACCUCAAACAUGAGGUGUCUAGGAUGGACACUUGCUGGCAUUACCAUCAACUGCGGCGCCAAGGUAAAUGGAGCGGCUCUGGCGGCAACACUCGGCUAUGCAUCCCUCACAUCAAUCUACCACCGUGGUCAGAAUGCUACUAGUAGGACCUGUACCUCGAGGAGGAAGUGGGGACAUUUGUUGGUUCUGGUGUGGCGCCCUCUCUGCUUGGGUUCACCACCGACGAAUCUGUCCCUGGAUCCACGUAUGUUCUUGGAGAGGACACAGCCCUCCUGCGGCAUGGCCGUGGAUGACCUCAAGCAUGACGUGUCUAGGAUGGACACUUGCUGGCAUUACCAUCAAGUGCGGCGCCAAGGUCAAUGGAGCGAAUUGGUGGAUCCAGCGACUGUGUUUGUGUCAUGGAGGCCGAAGAUACCUCUCAGGAUGCUAUUAGUAGGGCUUGUACUUCGAGGAGGAAGUAGGGCUCGACCCGUUUGUUGUUUCUGCAGCGCACGUGGUUCUGGUGUGGUGCCUUUGCCGCCCGGGUUCACCGCUGUCGACACCACUCUCGCCAGGGUGCUACUACUGUCCCGGAGAGGACACUACCGUCUGCUGCUCGGGCAUGGAUGACCUUGAGCACGGCGUGUCUAGGAGGGGCACGCUUACCAGCUGGCCCAUCAAGUAUGGCGUCAAGCCAUGCACAGGAGGAGACCAUGGUCGUGGUCAUGGAUCUGGAGUUGCUUGCAUUAGGCAUGCUAUGCUCCACCAAGAGCACACCUUCUGCCGCCAUGUUGUGUAUUACUUCCUUCCCGUUAAAAUCUCUUUUAUUUGUACCAACUGCUCAUGUAGUUAUUGUUAAAAAAUAAAAAAUAGCCACCGAAUAAAGUUGACUACUUCUCUAUUUUGUUGUGUGAGAGCGGAAUAAAUAAAGUUGAUUGAUUUCACAGUUAACUAGCUCACUUUCUCAUGUGGACGGAUGCAUCUGGUUUAUGAUUGUGUUGUUGUAGGUGAAGGGCAUACGUAGGCUCUAUUAGGCCCGGAAGAAUCUCGAUGAUGUUGUGCCCUUCCGAGAGCAAUCAGACAUUGGCAUCUACGCUGCAUUCCCUGUAUAGUUGAUCUCACUGGUCAAUGGAUUGCCCUGGAUAGCGCCUCUCCGCGCAACCCAGAGCUGCUGUGCCGGUGAGGCCACCGAUGAUGCUACUGCUGGUGUCCGGUGGGGAAGAGCAAGAGGAGUAAUCAAGAAAAGUUGAUAAUGGAAUCCUGAACUCCUCAAUGUUUAACUACCUGCCAGCAAGGUGGCUUGAAUUCCAGCGAGUAUCCGUGGAUUUAUAAACAUGUUUGGAACAUAGUAACCUACCUAUGUAUAUUUUUUCAUUGUGGAGGAAGAGCUGCUGGUCACCUACCUGGGCUACUGCUUAUGCUGAUGUCUUCCCUAACAACGUCCACGAGCUGCUGCUUCAUGAUAGACCCAGUUUGAAAUCAUCUUCAUUAUUCUGUUUCAAGAUUCUGCUUUUGCUACCUGAUGGCUUCUGGUACAUGUUAUUUUUCUUGUAUUUAUGUCCGUAAGGGAAGGUGAUAUGAUUACCGUCCAUCAUCACCACAGGGUUACAUGAGGAGAGGAUGCAGCCCAAGUCCACGUGGUCACUAUGGAGACCAUAGUAGGGAUAUCUCCAACUAGUCUUUAGGUGGGGAAUCUAUGUCGUGAUUGUAGGUAAGAUCGUUGAUGCUCCUGGAAUUUCAAGGCAGAGGUGUUUGUUUCUGUUGUAAAUUAAAUAUGUGCAGCCAUAUAUUUGUUUUUAUUCCUAAUAUAUCUGUACCGUUCAUAGUUAUUUUAGAUCACAAAUAUUUUUGAGAAUAGGUACAUCCUUGUGCUUUCAUCGAUUUAUUUUCAUAUUGAUCUAAUCUUUUGUAUUUCGCUCGACUCUUAGGCCGUGAGCACAUCCUGCAUAACAUCCAACCCAUUUGCAUAGCCAAAACCAGUUAAGACAUUACUGGAAUUCAUCAGUUGGAUGGAAAGUUUGGGUUUAGCACUAUUAGGACAAUCCAAAUAUAGAUUUCAAUUCUAAACAUUUAUCUUUUGUAGUUUUAAUCAUCCAAUAUGAAUUACCUUGCGUAGUAACAACAUCUAUGUUUUCAUUGAAAUAAUUCCGUUGUGUUUCCUAGAAAUAAAUAUGAAUUACCUUGUACUAGCCUCUGUUCAUAUUUGGGUUUUCUCGAAAAAAAUAUGAAUUACCUUGUACUGGCCUACCUUGCAUGGAGGCAUUGUCCUUGUUUAUGAGCAUACUCAGGUUAGUAAUGUCUAAGGUAUUGUUGAAGAUUUCAAAUAUAUUUUUCACUUAAAGUCCAGCAGAACACGCUUCAAAUUUGUUUUUCGAGAGAGUUUUUCAUUUUCCUAUACAGAACUACCCAAGUGAUACUUGGGUUUCAUGCAUGCUAAUGAUUCCUGAUUAUCUGGACCAAGGUGUCCUUUUUGUUUGCUGAUGCACAUAUGUAUUUAUGCAUGUACAAUUGCUGCUCAUCUGGUUGUGGAGUAAGCACUUAUUAGCAUUCGGUAAAGAAGAGAAGAAAUCAAGACCGGACUAGCUCCACUCAGAUGACCAUGCAGACAAGAACAACUAUUUAGCCCAUAAGGCCACGCUGGAGAUCAAUCAGCUCCAGCGGUCCAACCUAGAUGGUGCGGGCGCGAUCGGUUGUUUUUUUUGCUCGACUGUUGUGCCGUGCGCGAUCGAGGGCAGGCGAGAGCAAGAGCGACACGAUGAUACCGCAGAUCGGCCGAAAGAAAUCGAAUUGGUCUUCACCUGUUCCUGUUCGCUCUUGCCACCGAUGGAAUUGGUGAAUUGGUGUUCAGUAGUUCCUGGUGCUUGACGGUGUGGCCCCUCUGCUAACAAAUCAUACAUCAACGAUCAUGCGUCAAGGAGAACCACCAUGAACCAAGGAGCCAUUGGGCGCCAACGAGGGGAUGCCCUCCUUCCCCAUGCGGUUCGUCCUAGUUGUCUCGUCAGACAUGCUCGCAAGACCACACAGCCGAUGAGACACCUCACAUUCUCAUACCUAUUAUGCAUGGAUAUGAAGGUGCUAAGGUUGCUUCUGAAAUAUUUGCGGGAGAUGGUCAGAAGCUCGUGUCAAACUCAUUGGUGCAGUAUACCACCUUUUUGUAUUGAUGAUUUGUCGACGGCCAUCCCAUCAACAAAUUGUGAAGUUCCUGCCGAGGGAAUCUCUUCACCACCGUCCGCCAGCACAGUUCUUGUUUGGCAUGAAGAUUUUGUAGCGCAUAAUUCGUUGUAGGUAAGGGAUAUGCAGCUCUGUAGUAGGGUAAGGGAUUGUUGUUCAAUUGUAUGUUAUGUGCUUUGGUAGAUUUGUUUGAUACAAAUACAUGAGAGCAAGCCCACCAUUUGCUGUAAAGUCAAUAUCUAAUGAUAAUGGCUAUUAAUAUGUUGAUGCAUGCAUUGUGUCACAUAAUGAACAAAAACCACCCUUGUCUUG